rnacentral:rRNA from 1 species
UACGUAGGCAGCGAGCGUUGUUCGGAGUUACUGGGCGUAAAGAGUGCGUAGGCGGUGCUCCAAGUCUGGUGUGAAAUCUCCCGCUUAACCGGGAGGGUGCGCCGGAAACUGGGGUGCUGGAGUGUGGGAGAGGUAAGCGGAAUUCCCGGUGUAGCGGUGAAAUGCGCAGAUAUCAGGAGGAACACCAGUGGCGAAGGCGGUGCUCUGGGCCGGAACUGACGCUGAGGAGCGAAAGCGUGGGGAGCAAACAGG